rnacentral:rRNA from 1 species
AUUGAACGCUGGCGGCAGGCUUAACACAUGCAAGUCGAGCGGGGUGAUGGUGCUUGCACUAUCACUUAGCGGCGGACGGGUGAGUAAUGCUUAGGAAUCUGCCUAUUAGUGGGGGACAACAUUUCGAAAGGAAUGCUAAUACCGCAUACGUCCUACGGGAGAAAGCAGGGGAUCUUCGGACCUUGCGCUAAUAGAUGAGCCUAAGUCGGAUUAGCUAGUUGGUGGGGUAAAGGCUUACCAAGGCGACGAUCUGUAGCGGGUCUUAGAGGAUGAUCCGCCACACUGGGACUGAGACACGGCCCAGACUCCUACGGGAGGCAGCAGUGGUGAAUAUUGGACAAUGGGCGGAAGCCUGAUCCAGCCAUGCCGCGUGUGUGAAGAAGGCCUUAUGGUUGUAAAGCACUUUAAGCGAGGAGGAGGCUACUUUAGUUAAUACCUAGAGAUAGUGGACGUUACUCGCAGAAUAAGCACCGGCUAACUCUGUGCCAGCAGCCGCAGUAACAC